rnacentral:tRNA from 1 species
CGGACUCUGGAUCCGUCAGCGAAGGUUCGAAUCCUUCCUCCCCAG